UGUUUAUAGGAUAUUAUUGUAUUGGGAAAGUGACAGAGGAACCUCAAUUAUCCAAAUAUCGAUCAUCCAAAUUUUGGAUUAUCUGAAGAACAUUCCAAGGUCCUGCAAAAACGUUACAUCAAAGAGAAGGAAUAUGAGCCUGGUAUCUCUGGCCAAAGAGGCAAUCUGCAAAAAGACAAGUCAAGGCUGGGAAAGGCAGGAAUGCUAUGAACAUCCAGACUCCACAUUACUUCAAACAUACAGAAGUGGUUGCCAAGCAAACGCCUUCAGAACAGUCCUUCUUCAAUCACUUCAAAUGUGGAUCACCAUGGCGACAGGGAGUUCAGGCCAAGGAACGAACUGAGACAUAACUGUCCAAAAAUAAUGAAAAGCCAACUUGACAUUGCGUGUGCCACCUAUUGCUUUACAAUGAAUCAGCUUGUUCUGUUGAUGUUUUGCUUUGCACUCUUUAUUCUCUGAAGUUUCUCUGCCUCUCAGCUCUUAAGGGGCUGUAGUACUUUAACAUGGCAUUUCCCUUACAUUGCUUCUCAUUUGCUGUCUAUCUAAGGUGGUAAAAAAUAACCUCAAAAGCAGAACUUGUAGUUUACCAGGGUAGAACAAACUGAGCUUGAAGCAAUCAUCACUCGUAGUAGUGGUAUGUGUUUCUGUAUGUGACGAAAAUUAAUUCUGUUUCUACAAAAUAGAAUUGUUAACACUUUUGAAGACCUGAUGGCCAGUACGUCUGUGAUGUACCUUUGUAGAUACAAUAUGAUCAUUAUGGAUUGACUGUUCCUCCCUUCUCCAGCUAUAGUACAGCAUGCAGUAAAUUGUGCUGUACAUGUGAUAUAAUUCCGUGUGAGAAUGGUUGUUGGGUUCAUAUAUCUCUCAAGUAGCUAGCACACUAACAAAUAUCUCAAAAAGCUGCCCACAAUUUCCAGCACUUUUGAAUGUAUUGGAAAUUGCAGAAAUGUCACUGGCUGUGUAUGUGAACAGAACUUCAAAAGAGAUUGUUCAUUAAAAACAAAAUUAAUUUCUUUGGGCGUACAAAGAGAGAGAAUCAUGACGACACAGUCAAUUAAAUUCAUGCCGAA